AACGAACGCUGGCGGCAUGCCUAACACAUGCAAGUCGAACGAGACCUUCGGGUCUAGUGGCGCACGGGAGCGUAACGCGUGGGAACCUGCCCUUAGGUUCGGAAUAACUCCCCGAAAGGGGUGCUAAUACCGGAUAAUGUCUUCGGACCAAAGAUUUAUCGCCUUUGGAUGGGCCCGCGUUGGAUUAGCUAGUUGGUAGGGUAAAAGCCUACCAAGGCGACGAUCCAUAGCUGGUUUGAGAGGAUGAUCAGCCACACUGGGACUGAGACACGGCCCAGACUCCUACGGGAGGCAGCAGUAGGGAAUAUUGGACGAUGGGCGAAAGCCUGAUCCAGCAAGGCCGCGUGAGUGAUGAAGGCCUUAGGGUUGUAAAGCUCUUUUAGCCGGGAUGAUAAUGACAGUACCGGGAGAAUAAGCUCCGGCUAACUCCGUG
rnacentral:rRNA from 1 species